UACAAAGCCACAUUAUCUUGAAUCAGAUGAGGUCCAUUUCCAUGCAUUGUAGGAAUAGCUAAAUUAUAAAUGUAAAUAUCCAGAUUACAGAGGCUAUUUCCCUCCCAUUUGCAGGUAUUGUGCAACUAUUAAGUAAGUUCUCCAGGAGAGAAUCUGUCAAAACCAGGAUGUUUAAAGUGCAUUUUUCUGUAAUGGCUCAAUAUAUCUUAAAAUUGCAUAUUUAUGUCAGGGUCUGGAGGAUAAAGCUUGGCGAACAAAGCAAAGUAGUGUUCAGCUUCUAGGUGCAAUGGCUUACUGUGCUCCUCAGCAGAUGUCUCAGUGCCUUCCCAAAAUUGUGCCUAAGCUGACGGAGGUUUUAACUGAUACCCACCCUAAAGUACAGUCAUAGCACAGACGGCACUACAGCAGAUGUUCAAGACUUCAGCCAGUGAUAACAUGCAGAUGCUUAUGCUGAGGCUAUGUCCAGCUGACCCGUGUCUGCAAAAAGCUUGCUUACUUUCUUGGUUGCAUAUUACAGGACUAAUGCUCCAAAUGUGGCAUCUGACAUUGAGUUUGGUAUACAAAAUUGAACUUCAGUUGGAUUCUAUGUCUAGGCUCCUUAAAUUUCCUGAGUUACAUAUAAUAUUUUUGUGAAUAAAUACCUGUGAAUGACCAAUAUAAUCCUAAUUUGUUACCACGCUUGGUUAAUUAGGCUCAACACCCUGCUGGUAGUUUUUUUUUAAUGUAACGACAGAAAAUGUCAUUUGGCAUCUCCUUUGUAUUUUAUGAGUUGGGUUUGAUCUAAAGCUUAUGCUAUGAUUUAAGUUUAUAUAUCACAGGAACUUCUUCUGUGACGAUAGAUUGUUUUUUCCGUUUGUCUUGCUGCUUAACUUCAAAAGUAUAGGCACUGAUAAUAUGCAGUUGAUUAACCUCAGCCUUUUAUCUGUUCAAUAAUGCUUAAUUUCAAAUGUAUAGCCAAUGAUGAUGUACAUGUCUGUUUGUU